UACGUAGGGUCCGAGCGUUGUCCGGAAUUAUUGGGCGUAAAGGGCUCGUAGGCGGUUUGUUGCGUCGGGAGUGAAAUCCUCCAGCUUAACUGGAGGCUUGCUUUCGAUACGGGCAGACUUGAGGUACUCAGGGGAGAAUGGAAUUCCUGGUGUAGCGGUGAAAUGCGCAGAUAUCAGGAGGAACACCGGUGGCGAAGGCGGUUCUCUGGGAGUUACCUGACGCUGAGGAGCGAAAGCGUGGGGAGCGAACAGG
rnacentral:rRNA from 1 species